GACGAACGCUGGCGGCGUGCUUAACACAUGCAAGUCGAACGGAAAGGCCCUGCUUUUGUGGGGUGCUCGAGUGGCGAACGGGUGAGUAACACGUGAGUAACCUGCCCUUGACUUUGGGAUAACUUCAGGAAACUGGGGCUAAUACCGGAUAGGAGCUCCUGCUGCAUGGUGGGGGUUGGAAAGUUUCGGCGGUUGGGGAUGGACUCGCGGCUUAUCAGCUUGUUGGUGGGGUAGUGGCUUACCAAGGCUUUGACGGGUAGCCGGCCUGAGAGGGUGACCGGCCACAUUGGGACUGAGAUACGGCCCAGAGUCCUACGGGAGGCAGCAGUGGGGAAUAUUGCACAAUGGGCGGAAGCCUGAUGCAGCAACGCCGCGUGCGGGAUGACGGCCUUCGGGUUGUAAACCGCUUUCGCCUGCGACGAAGCGUGAGUGACGGUAAUGGGUAAAGAAGCACCGGCUAACUACGUG
rnacentral:rRNA from 1 species